rnacentral:tRNA from 1 species
GUACAGGGUAGCCUAGUGGACAUGGCAUCUGCCCGGUAAGCGGAACGUUGUGGGUUCGAUUCCCGCCCCUGGACA